AUGAAUCAGAGAGUUGAUGCUGGCAGUCUGACUGCAUGUGCUCGCUUUCUUAGUCCAUUCUACACCUGUGCACUUAAUAAUUCUAAUGGUAAGAUAAACUCUGCCUUUGGAACUUAUAUUAAACUCUUUGCUUUGGAAUAAUGUGUUUAUCUGCCGCAAGGCGAAAUAAAAUA
rnacentral:misc_RNA from 1 species